rnacentral:rRNA from 1 species
AUUGAACGCUGGCGGCAUGCCUUACACAUGCAAGUCGAACGGUAACAGGUCUUCGGAUGCUGACGAGUGGCGAACGGGUGAGUAAUACAUCGGAACGUGCCUAGUAGUGGGGGAUAACUACUCGAAAGAGUGGCUAAUACCGCAUGAGAUCUACGGAUGAAAGCAGGGGAUCGCAAGACCUUGUGCUACUAGAGCGGCCGAUGGCAGAUUAGGUAGUUGGUGGGAUAAAAGCUUACCAAGCCGACGAUCUGUAGCUGGUCUGAGAGGACGAUCAGCCACAAUGGGACUGAGACACGGACCAGACUCCUACGGGAAGCAGUAGUGGGGAAUUUUGGACAAUGGGCGAAAGCCUGAUCCAGCAAUGCCGCGUGCAGGAUGAAGGCCUUCGGGUUGUAAACUGCUUUUGUACGGAACGAAAAGCCCCGGGUUAAUACCCUGGGGUCAUGACGGUACCGUAAGAAUAAGCACCGGCUAACUACGUGCCAGCAGCCGCAGUAA